rnacentral:rRNA from 1 species
UACGAAGGGGGCUAGCGUUGCUCGGAAUUACUGGGCGUAAAGGGCGCGUAGGCGGAUAGUUUAGUCAGAGGUGAAAGCCCAGGGCUCAACCUUGGAACUGCCUUUGAUACUGGAAGUCUUGAGACCGGAAGAGGUAAGUGGAACUGCGAGUGUAGAGGUGAAAUUCGUAGAUAUUCGCAAGAACACCAGUGGCGAAGGCGGCUUACUGGUCCGGUUCUGACGCUGAGGCACGAAAGCGUGGGGAGCAAACAGG